GCAAACAGAAGUCUGUAAAUUGCACUCCCAUCCAUAAAAGGGUUCUCAUAUAUCAGAGUGCUGGGAGACAGAUGCAAAGGCUGGGGCAAGACUGCUGUGGAGCACUGGGUGCACCUAAGAGGGAAGAAGGAGCUGGAUUUGGCACUGAGCACCAGAGCAUAGUGAGGUGGUCAUGGGAGCAGCCGAGUUGGUUCAAAACUGCACCUUGCCUGACUUUUUUCCCCUGAUUCUGGCCUAAGUACUGCUCUACAGCCAUGUGACCUGGGUCACAUGGAAUGAUGGUGAUCGAUAUAGACGUGAUCUCAGAGUUCACUCCCUCAUCAUACAGUGGAGGAAACGAGGCCCAGGGAGGGGCGGAACAUUUUUCCAAGUCAUACAGCAAGAACUCAGAGGCCUCUUGGUUCCUGCUCUUGCCUUGAGGUGGUUCUGCGGGGCGCUCCAGAGCCCCCAAGAAAUUCUUCUGAAAUUCAGUUCUCCACAGGACACCUGGGCUCCUCCUCUGUCCUCCCAGCCCCUCACAGAGGAGUAGUUUCCCUUCUGGCCUGCCUAAGUCUGUCUUGUCUUCUGGACUUCAGUGGCCACCAUGGACCUCCCAAGCUUUCUCUUGGGCUCUUCCAGUGCCGACCUCAGCUUGGCUGCCUCACACUCUGUCUGGUGGGCACUUACAGGAGCCAUGUCCACAGACCACCUCGCCUGGGCUGUGGAGGCCCCGUUCUGAGACCACGUGCAGUCCAAAAAAGGAAGCUAAAAGGGGUCAGAGGAAAACAUCCCCGUGUAGGGUGAGGGUGAAUCUCAGUCUCCCUGUCAACUCUCUUUAUCCUGACAUCCAGAAUUCCAGACCUUUGUGGGCACUGAUCCCUGAGACUGGGCUCUUUAAGCUCUUUCACUGAUCCCUGGGGUCCGAAACUUUCAGCUUGCACUUUGGUUUGGUAAACCACUGACUGUCCUACCAAACGCCCCCGCACCCCACAAACUCAACCUGUGCUCUUCAUGUGCUAUCUCCUGUUCGAUCCCCACACUGACCUUCUGGGUUAGGGACUUGCAUGUCCCCAUUUUAUAGAUGAGGAGCCUGAGGCCCAGAGAGGCUGGAGUGCAAUGGUAUGAUCUUGGCUCACUGCAACCUCCGCCUCCUGGAUUCAAGCAAUUCUCCUGCCUCAGCUUCCCAAAUAGAUUCCAGACAUUGUAUGGAAAAGCAUCGUGAAAAUCCCUGGCCUGUUCUGCUCUGUUCUGAUUACCGGUGCGUGCAGCCCGCAGUCACGUACCCGCUGGUUGCUCAAUCGAUCACGACCCUCUCACACGGACCCCCUUAGAGCUGUAAGCCCUUAAAAGGGACAGGAAUUGCUCGCUCGGGGAGCUCGGUUUUUGGAGACGUGAGUCCGCCGGUGCUCCCAGCUGAAUAAAGCCCUUUCCUUCCACAACUCGGUUUCUGAGGGGUUCUUUUCUGC
rnacentral:lncRNA from 10 species